CGGACAAUGGUCAAGAUCGGAUCUCUUCCUCUCUCUCUCAACCUGCUGCCGCUGUCGCCCGUUGCUUAGCCACGUCGUCGCUGCUCACAACAUUCCGAUUUCAAGUACUGCCCCAAGCCCUAAACGAUUUCAUUGGUUUUGAAAUGUGUCAAAGGAAUGCAAUCCGUCAAAGGAAUGAAAUCGGUCAAAGGAAUUGAAAUUUGAAGAAAUUGAAACGUGUCACGUGUUUGGUUAGAAGAGUUUGUAAGGAGAAUGGAAUUGAAUUCAACUCCGUUCGUUUACAUGUAAAUAUCUACUUUUAGUUAACUAAACUAUAAAUGUUUGCUAUAUGAUGGUUUUAAAGAAUGGAUGAAAAAUGACAAUGUUAUUAAUAUUCUAA